AACGCGAAGAACCUUACCUACCCUUGACAUCCCACGAAUUCUGUAGAGAUACGGAAGUGCCGAAAGGAACGUGGAGACAGGUGCUGCAUGGCUGUCGUCAGCUCGUGUUGUGAGAUGUUGGGUUAAGUCCCGUAACGAGCGCAACCCUUAUCCUUAGUUGCCAACACGUAAUGGUGGGGACUCUAAGGAGACUGCUGGUGAUGAACCGGAGGAAGGCGGGGACGACGUCAAGUCAUCAUGGCCUUUAUGGGUAGGGCUACACACGUGCUACAAUGGACAGUACAGAGGGCAGCGAUAUCGCGAGAUGGAGCCAAUCCCAGAAAGCUGUUCGUAGUCCGGAUUGAAGUCUGCAACUCGACUUCAUGAAGUCGGAAUCGCUAGUAAUCGCGAAUCAGAAUGUCGCGGUGAAUACGUUCCCGGGCCUUGUACACACCGCAUAC
rnacentral:rRNA from 1 species